GGAGCUUUAGUUCAGUUGGUUAGAGCGUUUUCCUCAUAAGGAAGAAGUCAUAGGUUCGAGUCCUAUAAGCUCCACCA
rnacentral:tRNA from 1 species